AGUGAACGCUGGCGGCGUGCUUAAUACAUGCAAGUCGAACGAUGAAGUCCUAGCUUGCUAGGAUGGAUUAGUGGCGCACGGGUGAGUAAUAUAUAGUUAAUCUGCCUUGCACUGAGGAACAACAGUUGGAAACGAUUGCUAAUACCUCAUACUCCAACUUUACAUACGUUAAGUUGGGAAAGUCUUUUCGGUGCAAGAUGAGACUAUAUCGUAUCAGCUAGUUGGUAAGGUAAUGGCUUACCAAGGCUAUGACGCGUAACUGGUCUGAGAGGAUGAUCAGUCACAUUGGAACUUAGACACGGUCCAAACUCCUACGGGAGGCAGCAGUAAGGAAUAUUGUGCAAUGGGGGAAACCCUGACGCAGCAACGCCGCGUGGAGGAUGACACUUUUCGGAGCGUAAACUCCUUUUGUUAGGGAAGAAUAAUGACGGUACCUAACGAAUAAGCACCGGCUAACUCCGUG
rnacentral:rRNA from 1 species